GUGAGUUUGAGAAUCUGAACAACAGCAACCAUGAGCUUCAUCACCAUCUUCAUCUGGAUCUUCACCAGCUACUGUUUCACAGAAUCAGCAGCUGGAGUGACAGUCACUCAGACGCCUGCAGAGAAACCUGUUCAACCAGGAGACAAAGUUACCAUGUCCUGUAAAACCAGUCCUGAAGUUUACCAGGGUUACAGUUUUCAGCCUUUAUCCUGGUACUUACAGAAACCUGGAGAAGCUCCUAAACUCCUGAUUUAUUAUGCAAACCGUCUCCAGUCAGGAACUCCAUCUAGAUUCAGUGGCAGUGGAUCUAACAGUGAUUUCACUCUGACCAUCAGUGGAGUCCAGACUGAAGAUGCUGGACAUUAUUACUGUCAGAGUUACCACUGCAGAACAGAUUCUGAUGGUGAUUGUGUGGGUGACUUUGUGUUCACACAGUGA